GGGCCCGUGGCCUAGAAUGGACAGGGCGUCGAGCGAAGUGCGUAUGCCUGCGGAGCCGAAAGUCGCGGGUUCAAGUCCCGCCGGGCCCA
rnacentral:tRNA from 1 species